rnacentral:sRNA from 1 species
UGAACCAGCCCCACUCAGCUCACCCAAAACAGGUAGAGCAUGGGCAGCAGCAAUAUAAGCUUCCUCAUGGUGCCCUGCCAAUGUACCUCAGUCCAGAAACGUCACCUCUAGGGGUAAACGGGUGGUUACUGCAUUCUCCCUGUUCUUUC